rnacentral:rRNA from 1 species
UUAUCGGUGGGGGAUGGACUCGCGGCCUAUCAGCUUGUUGGUGAGGUAAUGGCUCACCAAGGCGACGACGGGUAGCCGGCCUGAGAGGGUGACCGGCCACACUGGGACUGAGACACGGCCCAGACUCCUACGGGAGGCAGCAGUGGGGAAUAUUGCACAAUGGGCGCAAGCCUGAUGCAGCGACGCCGCGUGAGGGAUGACGGCCUUCGGGUUGUAAACCUCUUUCAGUAGGGAAGAAGCGAAAGUGACGGUACCUGCAGAAGAAGCGCCGGCUAACUACGUGCCAGCAGCCGCGGUAAUACGUAGGGCGCAAGCGUUAUCCGGAUUUAUUGGGCGUAAAGAG